ACAUGUCCUAGGCUGUAUAUACUAAGAACAGAUUGAGCAUUAGGAGAGUUGUGAUUAAGCCUGCACCAUCAAUAGGUCAACAAGCAUCUUAGUAAAAGGUAUAUGAAGUAUUUAUGAUACAUCAAACAUUCUUAACUGCAUCUGUCAUUUAGAUUAUGUUGCUAUUUUACCUGAAAGUGUACCACAUGUAAUCAGAUGUAUCUUUUGCUGUGGCGAUUUGAUCUAAUAACCUAUUUGCUCUUAAUGACGUAUCGUCAAAAUUAGGGAUGGCUUCUGUAUACACUUUCCAUUUUUCAGCUGAAUUAAACCGAAACUGCGGUUUCAUUUCUCUGAUACUGUUCUGUAUAGUCACCUACAAGAACAUAAAAAUAUGAGACACAUUUCACUAACUGCAUUAUAUUUCUGUAAUGUAGCUCAUUGAUGCAAAGAAUAACGGUCGAAGUAAGUCAGAUAAGAAAGAAGAGAAACUCGUUAUUUCUUUAAAAUAAAUGAUAAAGUAUGUAUCAAAAAUUUGAUUUUACCUUGCCAGUAUUGAAUGCUACAUUCUUGCAGCCUGGUAGAAUACUGAUUGAUUUUCGGGUCAAUUGAUACGGAAUAUUUAGAAAUUUAAUUGUGACAUCCCUAGGUCCACUAUUUUCCAAGAAGGCAGCACAUUCUGUGGAGCUUCUGAAAACAUAAGCCUGAAAAGGAAAGAGGUGAGAAAAUGAUUAACUUGCUUUAUUAAUUCAUUGAUCACCGUAUAUUAUAGAAUAUUCUUUCUUAAUUACUUUUUGUUGUAAGCCUAAGUUGAAAGUGGUUUGAGUUCCAUAAAGAAGAGGUUGUGAACAUGACUUGAUUGCAGCAUGUAGCUCCUUAAGAUGUCCCCAUUUUGGUUGCCUUACCAAACCUGUAUACAGAAGCAUAGUCAAUCACAUAAUAAUGGUUCAAUAUUUGCGAUUUACACAGGUGGAGAAACGAGAGAACCGUACCAUAUUCGUCUAGUGGAGCCUCAUCAUAAUAAGCUGUUGUUAUGAAAGGGGAGGCC
rnacentral:lncRNA from 1 species